rnacentral:rRNA from 1 species
CCUACGGGCGGCAGCAGUGAGGAAUAUUGGUCAAUGGACGGAAGUCUGAACCAGCCAUGCCGCGUGCAGGAAGACGGCUCUCUGAGUUGUAAACUGCUUUUGUACAAGGGUAAACCUGAAUACGUGUAUUCAGCUGAAAGUACUGUACGAAUAAGGAUCGGCUAACUCCGUUCCAGCAGCCGCGGUAAUACGGAGGGUCCAAGCGUUAUCCGGAUUUAUUGGGUUUAAAGGGUGCGUAGGCGGGUUGAUAAGUUAGAGGUGAAAUCUCCGGGCUCAACUCGGGAACUGCCUCUAAUACUGUGGAGCUAGAGAGUAGUAGCGGUAGGCGGAAUGUAUGGUGUAGCGGUGAAAUGCUUAGAGAUCAUACAGAACACCGAUUGCGAAGGCAGCUUACCAAUCUAUAUCUGACGUUGAGGCACGAAAGCGUGGGGAGCAAACAGGAUUAGAUACCCCUGUAGUC